rnacentral:rRNA from 1 species
GACGAACGCUGGCGGCGUGCUUAACACAUGCAAGUCGAACGGAAAGGCCCUGCUUUUGUGGGGUGCUCGAGUGGCGAACGGGUGAGUAACACGUGAGUAACCUGCCCUUGACUUUGGGAUAACUUCAGGAAACUGGGGCUAAUACCGGAUAGGAGCUCCUGCUGCAUGGUGGGGGUUGGAAAGUUUCGGCGGUUGGGGAUGGACUCGCGGCUUAUCAGCUUGUUGGUGGGGUAGUGGCUUACCAAGGCUUUGACGGGUAGCCGGCCUGAGAGGGUGACCGGCGACAUUGGGACUGAGAUACGGACCAGACUCCUACGGGAGGCAGCAGUGGGGAGUAUUGCACAAUGGGCGGAAGCCUGAUGCAGCAGCGCCGCGUGCGGGAUAACGGCCUUCGGGUUGUAAACCGCUUUCGCCUGUGACGAAGCGUGAGUGACGGUAAUGGGUAAAGAAGCACCGGCUAACUACGUG